GUAACAGGAAGCAGCUUGCUGCUUUGCUGACGAGUGGCGGACGGGUGAGUAAUGUCUGGGAAACUGCCUGAUGGAGGGGGAUAACUACUGGAAACGGUAGCUAAUACCGCAUAACGUCGCAAGACCAAAGAGGGGGACCUUCGGGCCUCUUGCCAUCGGAUGUGCCCAGGUGGGAUUAGCUAGUAGGUGGGGUAACGGCUCACCUAGGCGACGAUCCCUAGCUGGUCUGAGAGGAUGACCAGCCACACUGGAACUGAGACAUGGUCCAGACUCCUACGGGAGGCAGCAGUGGGGAAUAUUGCACAAUGGGCGCAAGCCUGAUGCAGCCAUGCCGCGUGUAUGAAGAAGGCCUUCGGGUUGUAAAGUACUUUCAGCGGGGAGGAAGGGAGUAAAGUUAAUACCUUUGCUCAUUGACGUUACCCGCAGAAGAAGCACCGGCUAACUCCGUGCCAGCAGCCGCGGUAAUACGGAGGGUGCAAGCGUUAAUCGGAAUUACUGGGCGUAAAGCGCACGCAGGCGGUUUGUUAAGUCAGAUGUGAAAUCCCCGGGCUCAACCUGGGAACUGCAUCUGAUACUGGCAAGCUUGAGUCUCGUAGAGGGGGGUAGAAUUCCAGGUGUAGCGGUGAAAUGCGUAGAGAUCUGGAGGAAUACCGGUGGCGAAGGCGGCCCCCUGGACGAAACUGACGCUCGGUGCGAAGCGUGGGAGCAACAGGAU
rnacentral:rRNA from 1 species